ACGUAAUGUUGGGUUAAGUCCCGCAACGAGCACAACCCUCGUUCUAUGUUGCCAGCACGUAAUGGUGGGAACUCAUGGGAUACUGCCGGGGUCAACUCGGAGGAAGGUGGGGAUGACGUCAAAUCAUCAUGCCCCUUAUGUCUUGGGCUUCACGCAUGCUACAAUGGCCGGUACAAAGGGCUGCAAUACCGUGAGGUGGAGCGAAUCCCAAAAAGCCGGUCCCAGUUCGGAUUGAGGUCUGCAACUCGACCUCAUGAAGUCGGAGUCGCUAAUAAUCGCAGACAGCAACGCUGCGGUGAAUACGUUCCCGGGUCUUGUACACACCGCCCGUCAAGUCAUGCAAGUCGGUAACACCUGAAGCCGGUGGCCUAACCCUUGUGAACUAG
rnacentral:rRNA from 1 species